GUGGGUGUGCUGUAUGGUACGCAGUUGUGAUCAUUAACAGGAAAUUUGACUUGAAGCAGCAGACCUGGGUUCGAUUCCCAGCACCCGCA